rnacentral:rRNA from 1 species
UACAGAGGCCUCGAGCGUUAGGCGGAAUCACUGGGCUUAAAGCGUGUGUAGGCGGACUUCUAAGUACCUUGUGAAAUCCCACGGCUCACCCGUGGAACUGCUCGGGUAUACUGGUUGUCUUGAGCCUUCUAGGGGCGAGUGGAACAAAUGGUGGAGCGGUGAAAUGCGUAGAUAUCAUUUGGAACGCCAAUGGUGAAAAACAACUCGCUGGGGGAAGUGCCGACGCUGAGACACGAAAGCCAGGGGAGCGAACGG